GAGUUUGAUCAUGGCUCAGAUUGAACGCUGGCGGCAGGCCUAACACAUGCAAGUCGAGCGGAUGACAGGAGCUUGCUCCUGAAUUCAGCGGCGGACGGGUGAGUAAUGCCUAGGAAUCUGCCUGGUAGUGGGGGACAACGUUUCGAAAGGAACGCUAAUACCGCAUACGUCCUACGGGAGGAAGCAGGGGACCUUCGGGCCUUGCGCUAUCAGAUGAGCCUAGGUCGGAUUAGCUAGUUGGUGAGGUAAUGGCUCACCAAGGCGACGAUCCGUAACUGGUCUGAGAGGAUGAUCAGUCACACUGGAACUGAGACACGGUCCAGACUCCUACGGGAGGCAGCAGUGGGGAAUAUUGGACAAUGGGCGAAAGCCUGAUCCAGCCAUGCCGCGUGUGUGAAGAAGGUCUUCGGAUUGUAAAGCACUUUAAGUUGGGAGGAAGGGCAUUAACCUAAUACGUUAGUGUUUUGACGUUACCGACAGAAUAANCACCGGCUAACUCUGUGCCAGCAGCCGCGGUAAUACAGAGGGUGCAAGCGUUAAUCGGAAUUACUGGGCGUAAAGCGCGCGU
rnacentral:rRNA from 1 species